AUGCAUUCUGGACUCAUGCUGUCCUUUCCACUCACUCAGCAACACCUCUCCAGCCUCAAUGUCGAUAAGUCGAUAACAUCAGUCCGUGGUGCAAUUAAGACAUUAUUAAACUGUUCAUCGGCCCCUUCUGAACUCCAGACUCACCCCGCGGCCUCACAGCGUUUCCUCAGUGAAAUCCCCAGUCUGUCUGUGAAACCUUGGCUGUGCUCCAUGCAUCUGGGACCCUAUGUGACCCUGCGCUUCUCCUCUCGUCAAGCCGUGCCCAUCGGGUGUGGAAGUGCCAGGCAUCUCAGACAAGAGACUUUCAAUCAUAGUGCUGUUCAGAGAAGGUGAUUAUGAUAAAGGGAGGUAGGAUUUCUUCCACAUCACAAAGGUGCUAAAAGGAGGGUGAUUUCAGAGUAAUUUAGCCUUUGUCUUAGAUGUGAUGUGUUCAGAAAACUUCAGAAGACCUUGCAGCUUGGAUCCAAAACUAUGUUGUUAUUUAUUUCACUCAGAACUUGUUGAUUCUCACUUCAGUGUUGAAGUUGAGAGAAUCUAAAGGUUUUGAUCACCUCUGAUGUGACAAUUCCAUCCUGCUGAUCUUAUUAUCAGCAUUUUCUUUGUUGUUUGUCAUAAUCAUUGAGCCAAAGCGUUCCUAAAGUGCAUCACUUCUAGACACACACAAAUCACAAUGUUCAUGAAAGGAUUAUUCUCUCUCUCCCUAUUUUACUUCUGUACUCUAGUUUGCAUUUAAAUCAGCAUUACGAUGCUGUGAAUUUUGUUGACUCUUGAUGAAUUGCUUGUGAUAUUCCUCAUCUAAGUCAGUUGGGAUAAAACUGCCUGCCAAAUGAUUAAAGGUAAAUACUUAUGAAAACAUUUAAAAAUCAAGCAAUAUUAAAGUCAUCUUUCAUAUAUAUUUCAUAUUUUUAUGAUGUCAGCAAUGUUAUACAGGCUACGCUGCAAAAAUGAUUUUGUAAAUAAAACUAAGAUUAUUGGAGUAUGUUUCACAAGAAAACACUAUUUUAGUCUUUCUACUUCAAAAUUGCACUUGACUUUUUAUUGUGGUGCUUGCUGUUUCUUUAUUAUUAAUUUGAGACAUUUACAAGCAGUUUCUAGUUGUUUUUAUGCUAUUUUUUCAUUGUUUGAAAUUAUUUAUUUUAUUUUGGGUAAUUGUGCUUUUUUUUCUGUCACAACUAUGUCAACUGCAUCACAAUUAUUUUUAAAUAUUUAAUUUUUUAUGUAUUUUAGGUUAUUUUAAUCAUAUAACUUAUUAUAAAUUAUUAAUAAUAUCUUGCUGUAAUAAAUAAAGUAAUUAUUAAUUAAUAUUUGUUUUUAAAUAUUUGACAGUACACACUAUUUUAUUUCUAUCUGAAGAUGUUACGGAUGUCCAACAGUUAUUCAGUUCUCUAGCCUGUUUUGUCUCUGUAAGAAUCAGUGCUUGUCAAGCCACACAUGAUUGAAAAUUUAAUUAAGUAAAAAUAAAAAAAAUAAAAAAGAAACUGCUCUAAAAAUGGCUUUUCGUUAACCUUAAAAAAGUAUUGAUUUAAUUUAGUGUUCUUAUUUCAGAUGUCAGGGACGAUGUUUUUUAUGUUCUUGAAAAUGUCUCGUGAAUCAAUUUGGCAAUGAAUCACUGGCAGAAUGGGAUCAGCUCAAAUCUCAGCAAAACAAUUAUGAUCAUGAUGUUUCAUAACAUCAUAAAGCUUGUCUGUGGAUCCAGGGCCAGUGGAGAAUUAUUGCAGAAGGAAUUAAAGUUCAUGAGUGUUUGCAUCGCUCCUUUCUAAAUUAGACAAACAGGCAAGUUAUUAACAGUCUAAUAUUGGAAGCUAAUGUUUGAUCAAUCACACUGUCUAUAGUGUGAGUUUAGUCAACAUUACCGAAGCAAACAAGAGAAAACCUUAAACUAAAGAAAGGUUAUCAGAUCGAUAAUCCAUUUAAGAUGCUCUGUUGGAUUCCGACGGCCCACUGCCAGCAAUCAAGAGGGAGGGAUUUAUCUGUGCCCAACAUUUAAUCCUCAGUCCUGAGGACGUUAGUGACUAAGACAUUCGAUUUUCACUGCCCCCUUAAAACCAAAACCCAUUGUGGGAAAAAGUGAUUUAGAAAUCAUGUUCGGUUUCAUACCAUGCUGUUGGCGGUUAUAACUGUGAACUUUGUGGAGCUGAGAUGGAAGACAACCGUUGCAUUUCUAAAUGGGGGGAAAAACUGCUGAUUCUUUUCCAAGUUGUUGACAAUGGAGGCACUAAAUAACCUCUAUUGUGUGCCGUUUUUCCAGGAGGAACCCUAAUUUAAAAUUCACAUAUUACCGAGACAGAUGUUUAGCAUCUUCAAGCUUUUGCUGAAACAGCUGUGUUUGAAUAAAUGACAAUGAAUGAGAGUUUUAUGGCUGUUUGUUUUAGAAACAUGAUCUUAGUGAAACAUUGUUAAAGAUGGUGCACGUCUUGUUUUCUUUCCCCUCUUUCAGCUUAAUCUGAAUAGACUAAACCAUUAGUCUCCAAACUUGGUCCUGGAGGGCCGGUGUCCUGCAGAGUUUAGCUCCAACUUAUCUCAACACAGCUGCCUGGAAGUAUGCCUAGUAAGACCUUAAUUAUCUGGUCCAGGUGUGUUUAAAAAGGGUUGGAGCUAAACUUUGCAGGACACCAGCCCUUCAGGACCCAGUUUGGAGGCUCCUGAACUAAACCAUUGUCACGACACGCACACAGACAGGUAGAUCCAAAAGCAGUAUGUUUAUUGGGGUGAUCCAAAAUCAGAAAACAUCCAGGCAAAGGUCAAAAUCCAGGUAAUCCGUCCAAAACACGAAACACGAACAUCCACUAGGGAACCAGGAAAAAGCAGGGUGACAUGCAACAAGGACUCCGUAACAAUGACAGAACAACCAGGGUAUUUAUACACAGGUGCAAACAAUGUAAGUGGUGACAGCUGAAUACAAUGAACAGUGAUGAGCAGCUAAGGCUAGUGGAAAAUGAAGUUCUGAAGGGGGUGACAAUAAGGGGAAGUGAGACCUCUAGUGGACACCCAGGGAUACACAAACCAGACACCGUGACACUACCCCCCCUCUAAGGAGCAGCUUCUAGAUGCUCCUCAGAACAAACCAAACACAAAACAAAGAGACCAGGAGGGAGGUGGACUGGUGGAGGCAGAACAGGGGGAGGGAUGGCGGGCCAGGCCCGUGUAGGGGAACUGGGACCGGCAGCGAUGGCUCCCCUGGUAGCCCAGGUGGCUUGGUCAGAUCAGGGGGCCAUGGUGGACCCGAAAGUUCAGGGGACCACGAGGGACCAGGCAGUUCAGGUGGCCACGGUGGACCCGAAAGUUCAGGGGACCACGAGGGACCAGGCAGUUCCGGUGGCCACGGCGGAUCAGUCCAUUCUCGUUGUGCAGACGGCCAGGGAGGAAU
ensembl:lncRNA